CUAUUUAUGGGAACUUUUCUCUCUUAUCA
rnacentral:tRNA from 1 species